UACGGGGGGGGCAAGCGUUGUUCGGAAUUACUGGGCGUAAAGGGCGCGUAGGCGGUCUUGUAAGUCUUGUGUGAAAUCCCUCGGCUUAACUGAGGAACUGCACGAGAUACUGCGAGACUUGAGUUCGGGAGAGGAAAGCGGAAUUCCGGGUGUAGCGGUGAAAUGCGUAGAUAUCCGGAGAACACCGGUGGCGAAGGCGGCUUCUGGACCGACACUGACGCUGAGGCGCGAAAGCUAGGGGAGCAAACGGG
rnacentral:rRNA from 1 species